rnacentral:rRNA from 1 species
CCUACGGGUGGCAGCAGUGGGGGAUAUUGCACAAUGGGGGAAACCCUGAUGCAGCGAAGCCGCGUGUGGGAAGACGGUCCUCUGGAUUGUAAACCACUGUCCCCAGGGACGAAGAUGACGGUACCUGGGGAGGAAGCUCCGGCUAACUACGUGCCAGCAGCCGCGGUAAUACGUCGGGAGCGAGCGUUGUCCGGAAUUACUGGGUGAAAAGGGAGCGUAGGCGGGGAUGCAAGUUGGGUGUAAAAACUACCGGCUCAACUGGUAGUCGCACUCAAAACUGCAGCUCUUGAGUGAAGUAGAGGCAGGCGGAAUUCCUAGGGUAGCGGUGAAAUGCGUAGAUAUUAGGAGGAACACCAGUGGCGAAGGCGGCCUGCUGGGCUUUUACUGACGCUGAGGCUCGAAAGUGUGGGGAGCAAACAGGAUUAGAUACCCUAGUAGUC